AAUCAACGCUGGCGGCGUGCCUCAGACAUGCAAGUCGAACGAUUAAAGCUCUCUUCGGAGAGUGUAUAGAGUGGCGCACGGGUGAGUAACACGUAAGUAAUCUACCCUCGAGUGGGGAAUAACAACCGGAAACGGUUGCUAAUACCGCAUAAUGCAGCGGCACCGCAAGGUGACAGUUGUUAAAGAUUUAUCGCUUGAGGAGGAGCUUGCGGCAGAUUAGCUAGUUGGUAGGGUAACGGCUUACCAAGGCUACGAUCUGUAACAGGUCUAAGAGGACGGUCGGUCACACUGACACUGAAUAACGGGUCAGACUCCUACGGGAGGCAGCAGUCGGGAAUUUUGGGCAAUGGGCGAAAGCCUGACCCAGCAACGCCGCGUGAAGGAUGAAGUAUUUCGGUAUGUAAACUUCGAAAGAAUAGGAAGAAUUAAUGACGGUACUAUUUAUAAGGUCCGGCUAACUACGUG
rnacentral:rRNA from 1 species